rnacentral:rRNA from 1 species
GAGUUUGAUCGUGGCUCAGAUUGAACGCUGGCGGCAGGCCUAACACAUGCAAGUCGAGCGGUAGAGAGAAGCUUGCUUCUCUUGAGAGCGGCGGACGGGUGAGUAAUGCCUAGGAAUCUGCCUGGUAGUGGGGGAUAACGCUCGGAAACGGACGCUAAUACCGCAUACGUCCUACGGGAGAAAGCAGGGGACCUUCGGGCCUUGCGCUAUCAGAUGAGCCUAGGUCGGAUUAGCUAGUUGGUGAGGUAAAUGGCUCACCAAAGGCGACGAUCCGUAACUGGUCUGAGAGGAUGAUCAGUCACACUGGAACUGAGACACGGUCCAGACUCCUACGGGAGGCAGCAGUGGGGAAUAUUGGACAAUGGCGAAAGCCUGAUCCAGCCAUGCCGCGUGUGUGAAGAAGGUCUUCGGA